CAAUCUGUGACUGGAUUCGAGUCCUCUUGGGUUCUUUGGUGAAAACGUUUGAGUGUCAAUUCCAGAUUUUUUCAUGAAGAACAGGAUAAAGUAAAGAAAUUGAAACAAGUAAAGAAAAAUAAAAGAGAAAAAAGAAGAAAAGAUGAAAUAGUAUGAAUUGAAAUGCAAAGUAAAUGAGAUUACACCACAAUCAUGCUCAUGAUCUCCUAAUUGCCAUUUGUCUUUGUGAUUGACUUGUUGGCUUUCAGAGUCUAGGAGCCUAAAUGUGUGAAAUCUGAUUAUUCUUAGUUACAACCUACUAUUUAUAAUGUUUGAAAUAAAACUGCUAACAUAAUCCUACGGUUAAGAUUCAAACAUAGAAAAUAACUUCCUAAUAAGAGCCUUUGAUCCUGUAACUUCCAAUAACUUCUGCUUCUUCUUGUGUUUGGUCGAGGAACUCUUUCAUGUGACUAUAUUGCUAAGUUCCCACUUGGCUUCUCACCGUUGCAUUUUCUCCUUGUCGAAAUCCUUGCAUUUGGUCGAAAUAUACACUUC
rnacentral:lncRNA from 1 species